CACCAUAUGGAAGCGCACAAGAAC
rnacentral:piRNA from 1 species